GACGAACGCUGGCGGUGUGCUUAACACAUGCAAGUCGAACGAAGUGGCGAACGGGUGAGUAACGCGUAAUCAACCUGCCCUUCAGAGGGGGACAACAGUUGGAAACGACUGCUAAUACCGCAUACUGAAGGAGGGGAUUGCGUCUGAUUAGCUAGUUGGGGGGGGAACGGCCCACCAAGGCGAUGAUCAGUAGCCGGUCUUAGGGGAUGAACUGCAACAUUGGGACUUGGACACCGGCCAGAAUCCGACGGGAGGCAGCAGUUGGGAAUCUUCCGCAAUGGACGAAAGUCUGACGGAGCAACGCCGCGAGAGUGAUGACGGCCUUCGGGUUGUAAAGCUCUGUUAAUCGGGACGCGGUACCGGAAUAGAAAGCCACGGCUAACUACGUGCCAGCAGCCGCGGUAAUUC
rnacentral:rRNA from 1 species